rnacentral:rRNA from 1 species
UACGAAGGGGGGCUAGCGUUGCUCGGAAUCACUGGGCGUAAAGCGCACGUAGGCGGCUUUCUAAGUCAGGGGUGAAAUCCUGGAGCUCAACUCCAGAACUGCCUUUGAUACUGGAGAGCUUGAGUCCGGAAGAGGUGAGUGGAACUCCGAGUGUAGAGGUGAAAUUCGUAGAUAUUCGGAAGAACACCAGUGGCGAAGGGCGGCUCACUGGUCCGGUACUGACGCUGAGGUGCGGAAAGCGUGGGGAGCAAACAGGG